rnacentral:rRNA from 1 species
GGAAGGGCACCACCAGGUGUGGAGCCUGCGGCUUAAUUUGACUCAACACGGGGAAACUCACCAGGUCCAGACACAAUAAGGAUUGACAGAUUGAUAGCUCUUUCUUGAUCUUGUGGUUGGUGGUGCAUGGCCGUUCUUAGUUGGUGGAGUGAUUUGUCUGGUUAAUUCCGAUAACGAACGAGACCUUAACCUGCUAAAUAGCCCGGCUGGCUUUGGCUGGUCGCUGGCUUCUUAGAGGGACUAUCGGCGUUUAGCCGAUGGAAGUUUGAGGCAAUAACAGGUCUGUGAUGCCCUUAGAUGUUCUGGGCCGCACGCGCGCUACACUGACAAAGCCAGCGAGUUCAUCACCUUGGCUGGAAAGCCUGGGUAAUCUUGUGAAACUUUGUCGUGAUGGGGAUAGAGCAUUGCAAUUAUUGCUCUUCAACGAGGAAUACCUAGUAGGCGUGAGUCAUCAGCUCGCGUCGAUUACGUCCCUGCCCUUUGUACACACCGCCCGUCGCUACUACCGAUUGAGCGGCUUAGUGAGGUCUUCGGAUUAGCCUUCGGAAGCUGGAAACGGCAUCUGGAGGCCGAAAAGUUGAACGAACUUGGUCGCUUAGAGGAAGUAAAAGUCGUAACAAGGUUUCCGUAGGUGAACCUGCGGAAGGAUCAUUAGUGAAUCCGGGCAGAGAUGCCCUUCACAAUUUUCUAACACUUGUGCACUGUCUCAUAUAACGCUGUUGAAGUACAUGGAAUGUCACAUUAGUGAUAAUAAAAAUUAUAACUUUCAGCAACGGAUCUCUAGGCUCUCGCAUCGAUGAAGAACGCAGCGAAAUGCGAUACGUAAUGUGAAUUGCAGAAUUGAGUGAAUCAUCGAAUCUUUGAACGCAUCUUGCGCUCCUUGGUAUUCCGAGGAGCAUGUCUGCUUGAGUGUCAUGAAAUUCUCGACCGCCCCGAGGGCUUUUCUUUGCUCCUGGGGAUAAGGUACGGACUGUGGCCGUAGUGCUCUCUCUCCCGCACGCGAGAUGUUGAGGGCUCGGCUUAAUGAGAUGAAGGCUGACCUAAUCAUUUUGGGGCCGGUUGACUCGAUAUUGUACAUCACACUUUGUCGGGGCGCCGUCUCUCAAGUGUCGGCCUCCCCUUGUUUUUCAAAGGGGUACCAAAAUUACCAUUGAUAUCUCGACCUCAAGUCAGGCAGGACUACCCGCUGAACUUAA